AUUGAACGCUAGCGGCAUGCUUUACACAUGCAAGUCGAACGAGUGGCGGACGGGUGAGUAAUGUAUGGGAAGUGCCCAAUAGCGGGGGAUAACUACUGGAAACUGUCGCUAAUACCGCAUACUAUCGGAUAGCCCAAGUGGGAUUAGGUAGUGGGUGGGGUAAUGGCCCACCUAGGCGACGAUCCCUAGCUGGUCUGAGAGGAUGAUCAGCCACACUGGGACUGAGACACGGCCCAGACUCCUACGGAGGCAGCAGUGGGGAAUAUUGCGCAAUGGGGGCAAGCCUGACGCAGCCAUGCCGCGUGUAUGAAGAAGGCCCUAGGGUUGUAAAGUACUUUCGGUCGGGAGGCGUUAACGACAGAAGAAGCACCGGCUAACUCCGUGCCAGCAGCCGCGGUAAUUC
rnacentral:rRNA from 1 species